GCAGUCUGCAACUCGACUGCACGAAGCUGGAAUCGCUAGUAAUCGCGGAUCAGCACGCCGCGGUGAAUACGUUCCCGGGCCUUGUACACACCGCCCGUCACACCAUGGAAGUCUGCAAUGCCCGAAGCCGGUGGCCUAACCACUUAUGUGGAAGGAGCCGUCGUAAGGCAGGGCAGAUGACUGGGGUGAAGUCGUAACAAGGUAAC
rnacentral:rRNA from 1 species